rnacentral:lncRNA from 1 species
ACCAGCAUGCCCAGCUAUAACUCUUAAUCUAAGGGAAAGUUCAAAACUAUGGUAGUUAGUACAGGCUCUGAGGAAGACAAAGGUAUCCUGGAUGAACCUGUUCUAAGACUCCCAUUUGUCUCUCAGGAGGAUAUGGGUCUCUGAUCUGCCUGAUGAUAUGGGGAAUUCUCUUCUACCUCCUCCUUAAAGUUCCCAGGCUAAUAAAUCAGCCUCUUCUUUAGUUACAGAUGUACAAGAGGCUAGGAACUGUGCAAAUGAACAAUGUUUUUAAAAUGAAAGGAAACCACCUUAGAAAGGUUAUUCCCCCUUCAACAGAACCAAAUGGACUAUAAUACUAGUCACAGACUAGAAAUGAUAUCUGAUAUGCUAGCUGCUCUUACCAGGGAAAUAAAGAGGGUAUGUUGAGUCUUUUGUAAGUAUACUAAUAUAGGUCCAUCUUCUAGGGAGGGAGAGGCGACAACAUUUCAUCUGUCAAUCAGCUCCAGAUAUUCAGCAUAAGCUACAAAAACUUCAGACAGGGCCUCAGACACCUAUAACCGAAUUGCUAGAUAUGAUCUUUUUUGUGUUCAACAGUCAGGACCCAGAGGAGAGAAAACAGAAAGUCUGGUUAUAGCCAUUGCAAUUGGUAAUGCUUUAAACCUACCCAGGUCAUCUAAGGAAAAACCCAAGGACAACUAAGAAAAUGAUUCCUGUUUCAAGAGUAAAAAGACUAGAUACUGGGCACAAGAUUACACCAAACUUGCACCUAGGCCCUGUUCCUGUGUCACUGGAGUAUCCUACUCCCUUGCUAAGAAGAGGUUUAUUAACAAAAUUGGAGGCAAGUCUCAAAUUCCAGCUAAGGCCAAAAUGGAGUUUACUUGCUGGGACUACAGGAGUUCUCCCUGACCAAAUUAGCCAACAGCUGGCUGAGGAGUGGGCUGGUUGUGGUGUUGGAGAUGGAAUCCAAGGCCUUGUGCAUACUAGGCAA